AGUCACGUGUGACUCCCUGCAUGUACCGUAUGAAUAAGCAUCGGCUAACUCCGUGCCAGCAGCCGCGGUAAUACGGAGGAUGCGAGCGUUAUCCGGAUUUAUUGGGUUUAAAGGGUGCGUAGGCGGCCUGUUAAGUCAGCGGUGAAAUCUAGGAGCUUAACUCCUAAAUUGCCAUUGAUACUGGCGGGCUUGAGUGUAGAUGAGGUAGGCGGAAUGCGUGGUGUAGCGGUGGAAUGCAUAGAUAUCACGCAGAACUCCGAUUGCGAAGGCAGCUUACUAAGGUACAACUGACGCUGAAGCACGAAAGCGUGGGUAUCAAACAGGAUUAGAUACCCUGGUAGUCCACGCAGUAAACGAUGAUAACUGGGCGUAUGCGAUAUACAGUAUGCUCCUAAGCGAAAGCGUUAAGUUAUCCACCUGGGGAGUACGCCGGCAACGGUG
rnacentral:rRNA from 1 species